ensembl:lncRNA
UUUUUUUUUUUUUUUUUUUACCUUAUUUGACAUUAUAGUUCUUAGCUCAUUCUUACAAUAUGGAGUCUUAAACUUACUUCACCUGCUCUUCCGCAAAAAGAAAGAAAGAAAGAAAGAAAGAAAGAAAGAAAGAAAGAAAGAAAGAAAUAAAAUGUAGUUAGGGAAAAUAGUUCAGUAUGAACAGCCAUUCAAGUAAAACAGAAAGAAAGAAAGAAAGAAAGAAGAAAAUGUAGUUAGGGAAGAUAGUUAAUGAUGAAGAAGCAUUAAAAAACAGAAAGAAAGAAAGAAAGAAAGAAAACAUAGACAGUAAAAAUAAUUAAGCGUAAACAGGCAUGCAAGAAAAACAGGGCUCUGCAAAAAGAAUGAUUGAAUUCAUUAAUAAUUCAAUAAUUAUUGUUUCUGAAUGAAAUGAAAUCUUCCUGGAAAAUCAUCCAGUCAUUCAACUGAAAAUGCUGCUUAAAGGAGCUCAGAAACACUCCGAGUGCAUCCAGUUUUAUAAAAGAUCCUGAUCACGUGUACUGCGAUCGUUUCUCAUUCGACAGUUUAAUAAACCCCAAAAUACACUUUGGCUUUGACUACGAAUACAAAAGCAGAUAUGAGUAUUUGAAGCACUAAACAGAUACAGAUACAAAUAUAGCUGCAAGCAGCAGUACGGGGGUCAAGCCCAUUAUUGGCACCGCGCCACGAGCAGCAAAUGAAGCUUUGUGACAUGUUUUUCAUUAGAGUCCGAUGCACGGUGUAUGAGGAGUUAGAAAAAGCAAAAUUUAAAUCCUAAAAAAACCCAACAUUUAUUUUUAAAAAUAACUAAAAAUAGCUACUUCUUGGAAAUUUUGUCCAAUAUGUGGCACUGUUCUGAAACCGCUCAGGUAGCAUCUGGGCCUGAUGGCUUUCAUGCAGGAAAGUGUUCACAAGUUAUAAGCCAAAAAAGCCAUUUUUUGCUAUUUCCUGACCAGUAGGGGGCAGUGUGCCGAAACUCUGCAGGUCACCUCAGGGUCUAAUGAUGAUGACGCAAACCAAGUUUUGUCACAAUCCCUCAAAGCGUUACGGAGAUAUACCCUCACGUCCAUUCUGGCAUUGAAGCGCCAUUCAAAAAUGGUAUGGUUUAUCAAAAUUCGGGGAGAAUCUUUUAGCCGUAAGUGUCUCUAGAUCAUGCACGCUAAUUUUCCUGCAAAUCGGACAAAUAGCUUAGGACGAUGAAUUGAGUUAGAGACACCUAAUUCAAUUUGCUGUAUUAACAGUACAGCCUGCAAGCGGUUCUAUGGGCUGCCAUCGAGUCAAGAGCAGAAGAAGAAGAAGAACACUAACAAAAACAGUAGGGUUCUUCGCGCCUUCAAGGCUUGACCCCUAAUUAAAACUGCAAGCAGAAUUUUUCGGGGCCCAAGCACCCAGACUCGGUGAGCCAUACAUUCACAGACACACUACAAUUGCUACAUAAGGUAUCACUAUUGGUAUUCAGGAGUGAUUUGUAGUUUGCCAGUCUGUUAUGGGAGAACAGUUUUAAAUAUCAGUUCCUUUGAUAACUUUUGUUUACACAGGUCUGAUGUGAGACAAAUUUGGUGAAGACUGGAAAAAAUGGCAGUUAGAUGAAAACAUUUUUAGCAUGUUAUUGAAACUUUUGUCCAGCAAGUCGCACUGGCAAGAAAUUUGUUGCAUAGCCCGAGGUCAUGGUCCUGAGGAUGCCUACCAAGUAUUGGUGGCUUUGCUGUCACAUUCAUUGGCCCAUUACAGACAAACCUUUUUUUUUUUUUUUUUUUUUUGAUAACCGUUCUUUUGGUAACUUAUGUGAGGCUUAUUCUUAAGAUAAGACCGACAAAACAGUUUUAGACAAACUCCAAGAUGGUGGAAAAUUUAAUUAGGCAGAAAUUGACAUUAUAGGGUGCGUUCAAUUUGUCUCAACCAGGGAAUCCACGGAUGUCUGGUUUUUAUGUUUUGGACACACAGUUCAAAAGUUCUGACCGUAAACGUACUUCCAUAUUUGGCAGAAAUUUGACCCGAUGGUGGCGCUAGAGCGUUGUCAGUACUUGGCCCAAAUUUGGUCAGAAUGUUCGUUAGACCCUCCCUAAUCAGUGAGCCAAACUUCACAACUUUUUACCAGAUGGUUCUCUGGGCUGCCAUAGACCUUAGCCAGAAGAAGAAGAAGAAGAAGAAGAGUAAGAAGAUAGAAUAACAAUAGGGUGCAUACACACGGAAAAUUCCAUUCCGUUGCACCCCUAAUGUAAGAUAAGUAAGGGUAAAAGGUAUUUUAAACACAGGUAAUAACUACAUUCUUUAAUAGAACAGCAUUUUUGUCACCCUAGUUCACUAUUGCUCCAAUUUAUCUCGAAAUAUAAUCACUGAAAUACUUAUGAGUAUUAUGUUUGCAAUCCUCGAAUCCUUUAAACAUCUCACGCUGCUUUUCAAACAUUCUCUUCCACAAAAAUUCUUUUCCACAAGUCGUCCAUUUUAUGUUAUGAAAAAAAUGUCCCCUUUAAUCAAAAUCAACCCAGUUACCUGAACACAUUCACCCUUAAGAAACAUUCGGACUAUUCUUCCAAGUCCUAUGUUUGAAUAUCCAAAAUUCCUGAAUAUCAUGGACAGAAGAAAAAUACAUCCUCUCAUUAUUUUUCUAUAUUUUGGAUGAUAUUAUGAUUUUGAGUGAUGAAAGUACAAAUUAUUGCUUGAAAGUAAAUUAGCAUGGACUCAACCACGUUUAACAGAUUUGAUCAUUCUCCGCUAGUAAAAUUUUUACACGAUUAAAACACUGUUCCUCGUUUGAGAGCUGAAUGUCAGCAAGGAAAUGGACAUAUUGUUCCUCGAGAUGGCCGAAGACAUUUUUUUCCUGAAUGGUUAAAUGCAUGUUUUCUCAUAUUUAAUGUUAAAAAAUCAUGUGUGUGACAUAUCCAAACCUACCUUUCAUAGAAAUCCUAUAGCAUAUGUCACUGACAUUGACGUACGUCACAUGACCGUGCUUUUUAACAUUUUUUUAUUAUCGUAACGUGAAAUGCUAGUUUGCCUGUCACAUACAUAAUUACACUUCUGACAUCACUUAGCGCGCUCUUAAUUUUUUAUUAUAUGCCUCGUGUUAUUAAUAUCUGUCAUUACUGGGGCGUAGUGUAGAGUCGGGAUGAGAAAAGUAGCGUGGUUUCUCGCAGAGCUGCCAAGCUGUCGCUCGUCCCUCGCAGGUGUGCUUCAGGUCACGCCGCUUGUGGAGGUAACCUUCAGCAAUUUACACUUGAGGAAAGCAUGACCUAAAAUAUCCAGAGAAAGACUAUGCAUAUGAGGAGCUAACUCAGCUAAAAGUGGCUAAAUCUAGCACACAUACUGUACUAUGCAUCCCAAAUAGAUAAAUGGAUAGAACUGCAUAUGCACAAUAUAGCUACAGGAAACACUUGUUAGCUAAAAUUAACCAAAAUACAAGUUCUUCUUAUUCUUCUACUUAUUAUUAUUAUUAUUAUCUUCUUAUAUAUCUUUUUUUUUAUAUAGCUUUAGACAAAUAGACAUAUAAAUAUAUAGAGAUAUAGAGUGUCCUCUUUAAGAACGUUAAGUUGUACGCAAAUAAAACGGGAAACUGUGGUAUUGGGUUGUUUUCCACAUGGAUGGAUGGGCAGAUGUGUGAUAGAAAGAUAGACACAAUAAAAUAUAUAGAGAGACACACACAUAUAUAUGGUUU